rnacentral:lncRNA from 1 species
UACCAAUCAAGCAGGUCCUUAAUAUCAUCCAAUUUUAAAAAUACGAAACAGCCCAAACUAUAAAGCACCUUAGCUAAUUACAUGACUCUAUUUCCAAGAUCAUCACACUAUAUGUUGGCUUUUCAUUCUACGAUAAGGUUUAUUUUUUUCUUCCUUGAAGAUUUAGAAGAAAGUUUGUGUUAAUUUUUCUUUUCAAAUUUAAAAAUUUAUUUCCCUGUAAGUUAUUUUUGUUAUAAAAGGAUUU